rnacentral:tRNA from 1 species
GCCUGGCUGGCUCAGUUGGUAGAGCAGGCAACUCUUGAUCUCAGGAUUGUGAGUUCAAGCCCCACGUUGGGUG